AAUGAACUCUGCCUCCCACCCUCUCCCACUGUGACUUGCUGUGAAUAAGCGCUGCUCGAAGGAAACCAUGGUGAGGGCUCUGCCUCCUUCCAGCAGAAACAGCCGAGUGAGGCUCAGCGCUGCUCCUCCAGGAAACAUCUUUACCAGCACAGGAACUACAGCUUUGUAAUUGGCCUGGUGCAAGAACAUGACAGGGUUUUCUCAUCCUAUCAGGACUCGGAUAUUUUGGGAGCUGGUAUAUAAGGCGCACAGCACACAGUGUCUCUUGGACAUUAGGAACAGGUUCAUGUGAGAAAUCAGUGUGCUUUGCUAUUUUAGUGGUUGCUAUAGUUGCAGCAUGAAUGAUUUUUUUCUGGCCUGCCGCAAUUCGGGGCGAUGUUUUCUUAUAGUUCAUAUGUAUAUUUUUAUUAUUUGAGCGCAGAUGGACGUACUUAAAGUAAUUAACAUGGUGAUGCAAGUCUUGUAAAGAAGCCUUUAGCAAAUAAGCAGCAAAGCCCUAAAUCACAUAAAUGGAGGCCUCGUUGAGCUUUCGUUAAGCGCUCAGACUUCAAUGGCAUGGGACUGAGCUCCAUCCAAGCCCAUUUCAGGUUUCUCCAGAUGAUAAAAGCGCUCCGUUUGGUCUCUGAAAUAAGAAGCGCUCGUUGUGCUGAACGAUCUGUGUUGGAAGGAAUGGCCCUCAUGGCAAAGAGUCCAAUAACUCUCCAACGGGUGUGAGAUCCGAGUCAGCAGCACUUAAUGGAGCUGUGAAGAGCUGAGCGGGAAGGCGGCCAAUAGUGCAAUUAAUAUUCUGUACAGAGUUGCACCACUCUGAUGACAGCAAACCUCGUUUGGAGCACAUGACAAAGCUGCAGUGUUUUUUCCAUAGCUGCCAUCAGUGUUUGGAUCCAAAGUAACCGUAACCACUAAAAAUGAGGAAUGACAGCAAACCCAACACCAGCAACUGCAGCCUGAAGUGCAUCCUGGGAAGCACAUAAUGACACUGGUAACUUGCCCUCGGCCGUAUGGGAGGUUCAACAUCUCAUCAGCCACAAGGUGACAGCCUCCAGUCCAGAGCCAUUAAAAGCUUCCUCAGCAGAAGAAAGGUUCUGAGCCCAAUGCUGUGGCUCUGGGGCCCACUCAGGAAUCAGCAGGCAUUGGUCACAACAGCCACCCACCAGGACAUGGAGGACACUGCAGUGAUGUGAGCUUAUUUGCAGAGCUGGUUUCUGCACCACAUGCAGCCCUACAAAGCAGAGCCUGAAGGACUCAGGACAAACCCAACCACAAUUGAGGAAUGGGGCAUGGCCAAGCAAAGGGUGGCUUUUGGUGGAACACUGCAAACCUGGCUGCAGUAAUGCAGGGACCGGUUGGUAUCAGUGCUUCCUACGAAGGCAGCGUGUGGACCAUGGCUGUGCUGUGCUCAGCGGGAGGGCGAGGCGUCCUAUUUCGGGUGAGCAAACCAAGCCUUCUGCAGGGCUCUGGGAGGCUGCAGAGCGCUGUGCAUGAAGCACCUCGGUGCAGGGAGGAGGCUGGGGCUGCGAUUCUUCACCUCUUUUUCUUGGGAGGCAGGAGGGGCACAGCUCCUUCACUGCUUUUAGAGUGGUCUACAGCAAGGGAAGACCAUCAGUGCAAUACACUGGAAAAGCUCCAAAGAGAAAUGCAGAGAGGAAUGAUUGCCAUUUGUGUGGGUGAAAGUGAAAAGGAUGAAGAAGCCUUUGGUGCACACUGGGAGUGAACUGUCUUCUUGUUUUUCUGAUACUCUUGAAAAGAAACAAGCAGCUGCUCUUUAUUUUCUCCAUCAGCCAGCACCAGGGCCUCAGCAGGGCUCGGCUGUUGGGCUGCAUGAAGCUGGACAGCCCCGUGUCCCUGAGCCAUCAGUGGCACCGCUCGGACACAGCAGUGGGACAAAAAAACCCCAUCAGUGGAGAGAGCAGCUGAGACAGGCAUUUAUCCUCCAUGUGCACUGGGCCAAGGCUGAGCACGGUGCUAAGGACAAAUGGACCUCUUCUCUCAUUCUGUAGAGAUCUGCAGCCUUACAGUCCUCAUAGAAAUACCUUUGGGCAAACCAGAUUAUUUUGACUUUGGACAACAUCAUUCAUGAAACUCUGCACCACAAGCUUGGUCUGAAGGAAACCACACACGAUUUGACUCCUUUAUCUUGUAUCAGCGGCGGAGAGCUCGAUGCGGUUACAGUUCUCCUCAUUUCUGAGAAGAGAGGAUCAUAUUUAAUCAUUGUGUCAGUUGGCACAAACACCAUGUUUGUAGUGAAAUGCUAAAAAACAGCGCAUUUAUCUUUCCCUCGAUCAAGAUUCAUACGAUAGGAGCUCUUAACGUUUAAACUCAUCAGUCAUGAAACUCUGUAGGGCUCAGCUUCCCUGCUUGUUUACUGUAACUUAUCCUAAAGAAUGAGCUGACCUCUCUUGCCUAAUAUAACAAAUACAGUAUCAGUAAUAUCCACCCAAGGGCAUUUGUUCCCUGGCAGACUCCUGCUUUGGCUCUAAGAUAUUAUUCCUGGACCUUUUUAUUUUUUUGCAGUGGGAUGUCAGCUAUUUUGCUUCACUGAGCAGCACAUUUCAAAACACAAAGUGCCUGCAGGGGUUGCCUCAUCGCAUGUCCUUAUCAGCUGCAGAAACAGAGGAGCCAAGAGCAACUUGGAGGCAGAGAGAUGCUGAACUCAAGGAGUGCUGAAGUUCCUUCUCAGACCCAAAUGAGGAGCCCGGAGGAUUUCAGCCACUGCUUCCUGCAGCGAUCCCAUUGUGUCCACUUGCAGCAUGCAAAUCUCAGAGAGCUGCUGUUCCUUACAGUGCUAUUACAUCACCCACCUCUCCAACAGCCCUCAUACUGACCCACUCUGAUCCAUGUUAUUUUAUGGGCACUGGCUUGUGCUGUGGUGUCCAGAAGUCCCAAACCUCCCCUGUGCAUCAAAGUGAAUGAACACCACAGAGAAAAGGCAGCCCUUGACCUAAAAAGUGCUCACUUUUCACUCACCUCUAAAUCUAUCUGGGCUUUAAUUUCUUCUUUUUCACCGGUUUCAGUACAAAACCCACCAUGCUCAGACAUGGCAGUGGCAGCAGAGGCUCAAGGAGGCAAUAGGCACAGCCACCAGCGAGAUGAGGCGUGCUCUGUGUGUUCUCAGACAGCAGCUUCAAAUGUGACGAUGUCUGAGAACGGCACUGCUACAGAAAAGGCUCCCUGUGCUCUCAGGGACCACCAGGAGGAGAUGGCAGCACCUGAUCCCACUGCCUGAGACCCAGCAUCGAAAAUGAGCACUGCUACGACCUCUUGGUUGGUGCUGUGUCAGCUCAGACCCCGCAUCGGGCACCGAAUGGCAGCCCGUGGGAGCGUUGCUUUCGUAGAGGUUGGAGUUUCAGUGGUUUCUAACGACUUGUUCGGUUGAUACCAAAGUGUGGAGGAGUUAAAAAGUCAGCUGUGAUCUUGGCAAACCCAACCAAACAGGCCGAGGAAGUGCCAGUUCACAGAGCAGAGCACAGCCCAUGCCAUGCCCCGAGGAUGACUCUUCACACCCCUGUUGCUAAGUUAAGGGUCUGAGAGUGUAUUUUUUUUUUCCUCCUUAAAGUCAUAGAAUCACAGAAUGGCUGGGUUGGAAAGGACCUUACAGACCAUCCUGUUCCAACCUCCCUUUAGACCAGGCUGCCCAAAGCCCCAUCCACGGCCUUGAGCACCUCCAGGAAUGGGGCACCCACAGCUCUCUGGGAAGCCUGUGCCAAUGUAAUGGCAUAAUGAAAAUACAGAAAAACGUUUAAUUCCAAGAGAAGGAUAAUACAGGGAAGUAGCUGCUUUUGCAGACAUCUCUAUGGAGUCAAGAGUCCUACUGAAGCUUUCCACCAAUCUCUCAAAUAAAACCCUCAUUUUUAUCUGUACAUUUCUCUGUCUCCAGAGGCUGCCUUCUCUCCUGUCCUAGUUUACCUAAGAAGUGAACUGAAUGUCCAGUUAGAAUAAAUGAAGAACUAAUGUUCAUUCGCUUGAUUUAAUACUUUGGUACUACCUUGACUGGACCCAGCUACAAACUGUGAAGGCAUCAUGAAGCAUUAACAAUACUUCAUUUCAGUCAUUACCACAUUGAAGUAUUCUGAGCAUCUCAGAAAGGCAUCUUUGGACAUGGUAUGAUGGGCGAACGAGCAUCUACAAAGAUCUGGGAUACAUCUUCUCCAUGAAAUGCCAUUUCUAUGCCACAGUUCCCAGGUUGGGAACCCAGAAAAAGGGCAGAUUGAGUAUACAUUAGUGAAAAAGAAAGAAACAAAGAAAACCAAAACAAGAGCUGGGGUGAGAGAGGUGGGGACCUUCGUCUCUUGAAGAUUCUUCUGCAGAUGGCUUCAGUUUCAAAAUCACUGAUGUCCUUUACUACUGUCCACAGCCCCUUGAGGUUUACUGAUGUGCUGUUAAGCUGCUGAAGCUAAAAGCAGCACUCUGUACAGAUGCAGCCACAGUUACGGCUUUGAAAUGAGCGAACAGAGCAACAACAAAGAACAGGAGCUCUGGGCUCUGAAACACUGCUCAGAGCACGAAGGCAGUGAAAAAUAAUGCUUUGUUAACUUCUUGUUUAGGAAAAAAGCAGAACACUUCCUCUAAUGACACAUUCACUGACAGUGGUGCUUUGAUGACUCCUUCACACUGGUGAAUCAUGGAUCUAAGUGCAGGGACAAACUGUUCCUGUCCAAAGGCCGCCAGCCUGGUGGUUCUCUGCCACCCAACAGAAAGUGCUGCUCUUCCUCCUGCUUCCUAACACACCAUCGCCAUCAGAAAUCCAGCUGAGCCAACACUGGCAGCUCUGAUCAGCCCAUGGUCACUGCAACGCCGAGCUGUCCCAGGAGCUCGCCAGGCUUCCUUUCACCGCGCUCCUCCUGAGGCAGCUCAUACGGUUGGACAUUUCCCUUUGCAGGCAGCUGUUCUUUCCAAAUUCCUUACAUUUUAGAUUAUAUAUCCUCAAUUUUGAUCUUUUGCUUUAAAAACACUUUCAUUUGAAGCUUAAUAGCAAAGGCUCAGUGCAUCUGCCAGAGUUCCUGGCACAGCCAGUGUCCUGCAGGAGCAAUUACUUUCCAGUGAGUCUCUAGAAUUGCUUAUUUACUUUCACUCGUAUGCCAAAAAUACUUUAAAAUCAGGACAGUUUUUUCCAGUUACACAAUCACCAGAAAUAUCUUGAAUCCAUACGCUUCCACUGUGGUUCAAUAGUUAAUCUGAAAGCAGUCAAAACAAUUCAUACGGUAUGCAAAGAUCGCCCUGUCUCAGGAUGAAGGCUUCAGAAGCACAGCUCUGUGUGCUCACGUCAACGAAGGCCACAAAGCCAAAUCAGUUCCCACCCCAUUAUAACCACACAGGGAAAAGCAACUGCAAAGCACCUUCCUGAGCAGCACCAUCACAGCCACUCACUUCUACAGAGCCCUUCUUGUCUAUCCAUGUUGACUUUAUUUACUAUUCUUGACAAAACAACACAACAUUGGACUUCUGACAAGCCAUGAGAUUUAGGAUACCAAUCCAUGGGAGCUUUUCAAUAAAUUAUAGUUAAUUAAGAUUGUUGGUGAGCGACAGUGGCUGCUCCUACUCCUUUUGAUUCACCAAAAGCACCGGUAAAACGCAGUUUUUGGCUCCCCUGGUUUAAAAAUCAGAGCCUCUCCCCUCCCUGCCCCAGGGGCACAGGUAAGGAAGCACACAACACCCACAACACCAACUUCUGAAGCAUCUCCUCAAAGCACUCUUUGCAAAUUGAGGCGCCAUUCGUUCUCCUUACUCAUGCAUAUUUUAAAUUCCCUUUUAAGUUUCAACGGUUUGCAUGGGUGUAAUUCGGAGCAGACUGGGGCCUUACAUAUUUUGCAUACCAACUAGUUAUGUGAACCCAAUUUCUGAAAAAGAGAUUAUAUGAGCAUUAUGAUGCAGCUGAGGAGUAACCACUGGAAAAAAAAGUACAAGAAAGCCAGAAGGAUUUGCUUUUUAAUUUUAAGCGCAUGUUCACAAAUGAAAGUGAGAAUUGUGCCCAUCAACAACGGCCGGAACAGAAUCAGCCCUUCUCCAAACCUACCGAGGAACCAUCGUCUUAAUGUGUAGGUUUAAGUUACUGGCACUUUCUGCUUUACGGAUAUAUAUGGCAUCUAGACUUUAAACGAUAUUGCAAAAGUAGAAAUAGCACGAUAAACCUUCAAAGCUGAAAUAAAAAAGAACCUGUGUUUUAACUUAGCGCUGAGUAUUUAUACAGCCGGCACCAUUUAGUCCGGCAUGUUUGAGCGAGCGCAAGUCUGUGGUUGCAGCUCUGUGUAAAAAUAUUGCAGCCUGCUCCUGCUUUAGGAGCUAAACUUCAGUUCCCAAUAGCUCCCUCUGUAAUUCUCUUUCCAAAUAAAAGGAAGAGCUAUUCCUGGCUCGUAACGGUGUAUUUCUGUGGCUUCUUGAACUAUAAUGAAGGCAGUCUGGAAUGUUAAAAAUUACAUGCUCAAUGCCAAUUCUUAACCCAGGGUAAUUUAGGCUUUAAAUGUUUUGAAGUUUACAUUUUGAGUCUGUUAUUGUACAACUUCUUAAUUAAAAUGUUGCUGUAGUCCA
ensembl:lncRNA